CCUACGGGCGGCUGCAGCUAAGAAUCUUCCGCAAUGGGGGAAACCCUGACGGAGCGACGCCGCGUGGACGAAGAAGGCCGCAAGGUUGUAAAGUCCUUUUGCAGGCGAAGAAUAGGCUUAGGAGUGGAACGCCUGAGCGAUGACGUUAGCCUGCGAAUAAGCCCCGGCCAAUUACGUGCCAGCAGCCGCGGUAACACGUAUGGAGCGAGCGUUGUUCGGGAUUACUGGGCAUAAAGGGCGUGUAGGCGGUGAAAGGUGCCGGCUCAACCGGUAGAGUGCGCUGGGAACUGCGGGACUGGAGUCUUGGAGGGGGAGCUGGAAUUCCAGGUGUAGGGGUGAAAUCUGUAGAGAUCUGGAAGAACACCGGUGGCGAAGGCGAGCUCCUGGCCGAUGACUGACGCUGAGGCGCGAAAGCGUGGGGAGCAAACAGGAUUAGAUACCCUUGUAGUC
rnacentral:rRNA from 1 species